rnacentral:rRNA from 1 species
UACGUAGGUGGCAAGCGUUGUCCGGAAUUAUUGGGCGUAAAGCGCGCGCAGGUGGUUUCUUAAGUCUGAUGUGAAAGCCCACGGCUCAACCGUGGAGGGUCAUUGGAAACUGGGAGACUUGAGUGCAGAAGAGGAAAGUGGAAUUCCACGUGUAGCGGUGAAAUGCGUAGAGAUGUGGAGGAACACCAGUGGCGAAGGCGACUUUCUGGUCUGUAACUGACACUGAGGCGCGAAAGCGUGGGGAGCAAACAGG